rnacentral:rRNA from 1 species
AAACCAGCACCUCAAGUGGUCAGGAGGAUUAUUGGGCCUAAAGCAUCCGUAGCCUGUUCUAUAAGUUUCCGGUUAAAUCCACUAGCUCAACUAGUGGGCUGCCGAAAAUACUGUAGAACUAGGGAGUGGGAGAGGUAGACGGUAUUCGGUAGGAAGGGGUAAAAUCCUUUGAUCUAUUGAGGACCACCUGUGGCGAAGGCGGUCUACCAGAACACGUCCGACGGUGAGGGAUGAAAGCUGGGGGAGCAAACCGGAUUAGAUACCCGAGUAGUCC